rnacentral:piRNA from 1 species
UAACAGAUGGGCUCCACAUGUAACUGAGAGC